rnacentral:tRNA from 1 species
UAGCGGGAUGGAGCAGUCUGGAGUGCUCGUCGGGCCCAUAACCCGGAGGUCGGAGGUUCAAAUCCUUCUCCCGCUAU